UCCGGUUUGACACCGGCAGUCUCUUUAGAGUCCCCGGCAUUACCCGCUGGCAACUAAAGAUAAGGGUUUCGCUCGUUAAGGGACUUAACCCAACAUCUCACGACACGAGCUGACGACAGCCAUGCAGCACCUGUGAAAGGGCUCCCCGAAAGGCACUCCCCUCUUUCAAGGGGAUUCCCAACCAUGUCAAGUCUAGGAUAAGGUUCUUCGCGUAGCCUCGAAUUAAGCCACAUCCUCCACCGCUUGUGUGAGCCCCCGUCAAUUCCUUUGAGUUUCAGCCUUGCGGCCAUACUCCCCAGGCGGAGCACUUAACGCUUUCGCUACGGCCGAGAAGAUGUGGAAGUCCCCUCAACCCAGUGCUCAUCGUUUACAGCUAGGACUAC
rnacentral:misc_RNA from 1 species